rnacentral:tRNA from 2 species
GCGCGGUUAGCUCAGCGGGAGAGCGUUUCGUUUACACCGAAAGGGCCGGGGGUUCGAAUCCCUCACUGCGCAC